UACGUAGGGUGCGAGCGUUAAUCGGAAUUACUGGGCGUAAAGGGUGUGCAGGCGGUUUUGCAAGAUGGAUGUGAAAGCCCCGGGCUUAACCUGGGAAAGCCAUACAUGACUGCAAGACUAGAGUGCGUCAGAGGGGGGUGGAAUUCCAAGUGUAGCAGUGAAAUGCGUAGAUAUUUGGAAGAACACCGAUGGCGAAGGCGGCCCCCUGGGACGCAACUGACGCUCAUACACGAAAGCGUGGGGAGCAAACAGG
rnacentral:rRNA from 1 species